rnacentral:rRNA from 1 species
GACAGAGGAGCCAAGCGUUGUCCGGAUUGACUGGGCGUAAAGCGCACGCAGGCGGUCGCGCGCGUGGGGUGUGAAAUCUGGCCGCUUAACGGCCAGGCGCCAUCCCAUACGGCGCGACUGGAGUGAUGCAGAGGUCGGUGGAAUUGCCGGUGUAGUGGUGAAAUGCGUAGAGAUCGGCAGGAACACCCAGGGGGAAACCAGCGGACUGGGCAUCGGCUGACGCUCAGGUGCGACAGCGUGGGGAGCGAACCGG